UCAGGUAUUACUUUAUUAUUAAAAAUUACACCUCACCAAUCUCAUAUUUUGCUCAUUGUACCAUUAUAUAAAACAGAAAACUCGAUAACCAUUCACUCUAAAGCCUUAGGAAUAAAUCGCGAGGGUUAUUGUUUUAAAUUGGUUUGAUUAAAAACGUGCGAAGGGGAAAAACUCCAUUUUUCAACACACAAUCUUGGAUACUGCAAAAUAAAGUAAAACAGGUCACCGCGAACAACGCUGUCCGGCGAUAAGGGUGUCACCCAUGACCAUUGACAGAGUGAAAACCCAGUGCUGACCUGCUGACUAAUGCUGGUGGGCGGUCAGUCUCUCCAGCCUUUUUAAUAUAGAAUUAGAAUGUCUGAAUAUUCAUAAAUGAGAUAUUCUGUUUAUGGACUUGAUUGUUAUUCAUGUAAUGAAUCAGUUGCGGUACGUUUUGUACCAUCGCAUAAAGCUUUGUUUUAAAGUUGAAAUGCUGUAUACAACGCUCUACCACUCAAAUUAAUUUGAACCUAUCGUAAAAUAUCCUUUUUAGGGCAAACUGGGCGUCUUGAGGCAGCUGCAACUGAAAGCUCUUUCAAAAGAUGGAGCCUGAAGCUACGCCGGGGGACUAUAGAUGGAAAAGACGUAAAAGCUGAGUGUACAUAUCAUAAUAAUAUCAAAUAAAAAUAUCAUCAGGGAAACCACCAGGGUGAUAAAACGAACUCAUUCAACUCAGUAUAAAGAGGAAGGGAAGUUCGCUAUUUGAUCGAAUUGAUAAUUCCGAACCUGGUAGAGAUUCUGAGAGAAGUAUGACGAGCAAGGACAA